AUCAAUUUGUUUCUUAAGCACAACUCCUCCAAGUCCAAUAAUUUAUCUUGACUGCACAAAUCUUACAAUGACUGCAUGAUGAUGAUUAUGUGGGAGAGGGAAUGUUUGGGCAACUAAUGUUGUGGAUAAAAUAAAUAGUAGCUAAAGAUAGAGAGGAGCAUAAGUAAUGUGUAUACUAAAGGAGGAAAGGGAAAUAAUUUGGAUAAUUUUGAAAAGUUUUGAUGUUAGCCAAUAUUAGACCAACUUCAUGGUUGGGCUCCUCAACCGCUCAAGCUGUGAAGAGCGAGGACCAUUCACUUCCACGAAUGGAGAAAAUGCAUGAACAGAGAAGCUUCCAACCGCGCCUACCUCUCUUUCUCUCUCUCUCAAAUUCCUUCGGGCUCCACUUAGCUCUCUAAAGGGGAAUAUUACUGUAGGGAAGAAGGGCCCAGAUAUAAGUAUUGGGUUGUGGACUGUGUCCGAGGACGUCAGAUAGCCCGAGGACAGGUAAAUACUAACGAGGGCGUACUGGUUAAUGAACCGUGAAAGAAGUCUAGCCAUAAGGAACUGGGAAAUGUUGUCUGCGGAGAAGUGUCUCCUCGGCUAAAGUCAAAGGUCCAACCCUUCAUGAAGUACAAGGUAACAAGCAAUUGUGUUGGUGAGGAUAAACAUCCAAUAGGGAUAAAACAAAAGAGAGUUGGGAAAUAUCUGAGAAAAAAGCUGCUACUACCGUAUUAAAUACUCCGCAUCUAAUCCCUGACCGCAUUAAUGUGGAGGUGAUAUCUAAACAGUAAUCUUCAGCCUUACAUCUAUCCCCGAAGACUUUAGGAAGGUGCUGAUGGGACAAAUAUCAAAGCUAACAAUCUGAUCUACACGUGAAGGGCUGAGAUGAAAGAAUGGAAGGAGAAUAUAAAGGAGAAAAACCCUAUUACAGAGGAUCAUCAGAAAAUCUAAGGAAAAAUCAUUGUACACUCAAGAACAGUAAAUUUGUAUAAGUCUGAGAGAAAUAUAUAAGAACAAAUCAUCCACAGACUUGAUCGAGGAGAGCUUUCUUGCUUAAACUGUUUGUUGUAUUCUUCCCAACCAUAACUAACCUAUUGUAACUACUAUCUACUUAUCUCAUUGAAAGUUCAUUUUCAAGCCCA